rnacentral:rRNA from 1 species
AGCUGUAACGAUGCGGGUUAGGUGUCGGAGGUACUACGAGGGCGCCCGGUGCCGGAGGAAGUUGUUAAACCUGCCGCCUGGGGAGUACGGUCGCAAGGCUGAAACUUAAAGGAAUUGGCGGGGGAGCACCGCAACGGGUGGAGCGUGCGGUUCAAUUGGAUUCAACGCCGGAAAACUCACCGGGGGCGACGGUUAAAUGAAGGCCAGGUUGACGACUUUGCCUGAUUUUCUGAGAGGAGGUGCAUGGCCGUCGUCAGUUCGUACCGUAAGGCGUUCUCUUAAGUCAGAUAACGAACGAGACCCUCGCUGCUAAUUGCCAACCCGUCCUCGAGGAUGGGAGCACAUUAUCGGGACCGCUGGCGCUAAAUCAGAGGAAGGAGAGGUCAACGGUAGGUCCGCAUGGCCCCCUAAAA